rnacentral:rRNA from 1 species
AGCAGCCGCGGUAAUUCCAGCUCCAAUAGCGUAUAUUAAAGUUGUUGCAGUUAAAAAGCUUGUAGUUGAAUUUCGGGGUCAGUAGGUUGGUCGUGCCACUGGUAUGUACUGGCCUUACUGAUUCCUCCUUCUUGAAGAACUGUAAUGUCAUUCACUUGGUGUUGCAGGGAAACAGGACUGUUACUUUGAAAAAAUUAGAGUGUUUAAAGCAGGCUAACGCUUGAAUACAUUAGCAUGGAAUAAUGAAAUAGGACGUUUAAUCCUAUUUUGUUGGUUUCUAGGAUUGACGUAAUGAUUAAUAGGGAUAGUUGGGGGCAUUAGUAUUUAAUUGUCAGAGGUGAAAUUCUUGGAUUUAUUGAAGACUAACUACUGCGAAAGCAUUUGCCAAGGAUGUUUUCAUUAAUCAAGAACGAAAGUUAGGGGAUCGAAGACGAUCAGAUACCGUCGUAGUCUUAACCAUAAACUAUGCCGACUAGGGAUCGGAUGGUGUAAUUUUUAAUGACUCAUUCGGCGCCUUACG